AUUGAACGCUGGCGGCAUGCCUUACACAUGCAAGUCGAACGGCAGCACGGGAGCAAUCCUGGUGGCGAGUGGCGAACGGGUGAGUAAUAUAUCGGAACGUGCCCAGUAGUGGGGGAUAACCCGGCGAAAGCCGGACUAAUACCGCAUACGACCUACGGGUGAAAGCAGGGGAUCGCAAGACCUUGCGCUAUCGGAGCGGCCGAUAUCAGAUUAGCUUGUUGGUGGGGUAAAAGCCUACCAAGGCGACGAUCUGUAGCUGGUCUGAGAGGACGACCAGCCACACUGGGACUGAGACACGGCCCAGACUCCUACGGGAGGCAGCAGUGGGGAAUUUUGGACAAUGGGCGCAAGCCUGAUCCAGCCAUGCCGCGUGCGGGAAGAAGGCCUUCGGGUUGUAAACCGCUUUUGUCAGGGAAGAAACGGCUCGGGCUAAUACCUCGGGCUAAUGACGGUACCUGAAGAAUAAGCACCGGCUAACUACGUG
rnacentral:rRNA from 1 species